rnacentral:rRNA from 1 species
AUAAAAAACCAAUGCGGGCAACCGCUUUUCUGGUGAUUCAUAAUAACUUAACGAAUCGCAUGGCCUUGCGCCGGCGAUGGUUCAUUCAAAUUUCUGCCCUAUCAACUUUCGAUGGUAGGAUAGUGGCCUACCAUGGUGGCAACGGGUAACGGGGAAUUAGGGUUCGAUUCCGGAGAGGGAGCCUGAGAAACGGCUACCACAUCCAAGGAAGGCAGCAGGCGCGCAAAUUACCCAAUCCCGAUACGGGGAGGUAGUGACAAUAAAUACUGAUACGGGGCUCUUUUGGGUCUCGUAAUUGGAAUGAGAACAAUUUAAAUCCCUUAACGAGGAACAAUUGGAGGGCAAGUCUGGUGCCAGCAGCCGCGGUAAUUCCAGCUCCAAUAGCGUAUAUUAAAGUUGUUGCAGUUAAAAAGCUCGUAGUUGAACCUUGGGUCUGGCUGGCCGGUCCGCCUCACCGCGAGUACUGGUCCGGCUGGACCUUUCCUUCUGGGGAACCCCAUGGCCUUCACUGGCUGUGG